AACGUAGGAGACAAACGUUAUCCGGAGUUACUGGGCGUAAAGGGCGUGUAGGUGGUUACGUAAGUCUGGCGUGAAAUUUCUCGGCUUAACCGAGGCAGGUCGUCGGAUACUGCGAGACUAGAGGACGGUAGAGGCGUGUGGAAUUCCGGGUGUAGUGGUGAAAUGCGUAGAGAUCCGGAGGAACACCAGUGGCGAAGGCGGCCUUCUGGACAGUGACUGACGCUGAGACGCGAAAGCGUGGGGAGCAAACAGG
rnacentral:rRNA from 1 species